AACGAACGCUGGCGGCAGGCCUAACACAUGCAAGUCGAACGAAGUCUUCGGACUUAGUGGCGCACGGGUGAGUAACACGUGGGAAUAUACCUUACGCUGGGGGAUAACAUCGGGAAACUGAUGCUAAUACCGCAUACGCCCUUCGGGGGAAAGAUUUAUCGGCGAAAGAUUAGCCCGCGUCCGAUUAGCUAGUUGGUGAGGUAACGGCUCACCAAGGCUCCGAUCGGUAGCUGGUCUGAGAGGAUGACCAGCCACACUGGGACUGAGACACGGCCCAGACUCCUACGGGAGGCAGCAGUGGGGAAUAUUGGACAAUGGGCGCAAGCCUGAUCCAGCCAUGCCGCGUGAGUGAUGAAGGCCUUAGGGUUGUAAAGCUCUUUCACCCACGACGAUGAUGACGGUAGUGGGAGAAGAAGCCCCGGCUAACUUCGUGCCAGCCGCCGCGGUAACAC
rnacentral:rRNA from 1 species